rnacentral:rRNA from 1 species
AAACGACUCUCGGCAACGGAUAUCUCGGCUCUUGCAUCGAUGAAGAACGUAGCGAAAUGCGAUACUUGGUGUGAAUUGCAGAAUCCCGUGAACCAUCGAGUUUUUGAACGCAAGUUGCGCCCGAGACCUUUAGGUUGAGGGCACGUCUGCCUGGGCGUCACACAC